GACAGAGGGUGCAAGCGUUGUUCGGAAUCAUUGGGCGUAAAGCGCGUGUAGGCGGCUUGGCAAGUCAGUUGUGAAAGCCCGGGGCCCAACCCCGGAAUUGCAUCUGAAACUGCCUGGCUAGAGUCCCGGAGAGGAAGGCAGAAUUCCCGGUGUAGGGGUGAAAUCCGUAGAUAUCGGGAGGAAUACCAGCGGCGAAGGCGGCCUUCUGGACGGUGACUGACGCUGAGACGCGAAAGCGUGGGGAGCAAACAGG
rnacentral:rRNA from 1 species